CAGAAGAAAGAUAAAGACAGAAAGAUUUAAGCAAUCUUCUAACUGACUCUAACAUCUAACAUCUGAAAUGUGUGCAACUCUUUACAGUAAAUAUCUCAGGGGAGUAAAAGGAAGAGAUGUACACACCAGAAAGGGGCCCCAGCAGACACAAGACACCACAGUGACGGCUGCGAGUUGCACCAUCAUCUCCACAUCCAGUGUGCAAAACAAGGAAGCAGACGAUGCUGUUGAUGCACGUCGAUCACUGCUACCUGAAGUUUCUUUUUUGCAUGUUCCUACUUUCUCUCUCCCUCUCUGUAGAGAGCCGUUUUAUCACAACCUUCUGGAUCUGGAUUUUCCAUCCUCCUUCUCUGCUAAAAGCAUUCCUUCCAUCUAUUGAUCUCUUCUGAUAAUCUUAUGGAGCAGAGUGGAUCUCAGCUUGCUCUCAGUUAUUUUCCGAUUGAUUAACUGCUUGCUAAAUGGUUCAACACUCGUAGUAAGAAGCAGAUAUUGGUUACAAUCUUUUGCUCUGUUACAAUAAGAUGUUUUUUUUUUCUUUCCUGAAAGCAUGUAGUAUACAUGUCUCAUAAACAAAUGUGAUGUCAUUGAUAAAACCCUCAUAUAAUACAAUGAUAAAAUGUAGCCCUAACAAUGUCUUUGUAAAAUAAUAAGAUCAAUAGAAACCAGAUUCAGCCCUGACCUUUAAUGCAAACUAAAUUUCUAAAUGUAGUAAUCCUGUAUGAUUUAAUUGCUUGUCUCUGUCUAAACCUUUGAGUUUUUCUAUGAACCAUCAUGAUGCUGAUCUUACAUAAACAGGAAGGAAUAGGAGAAAGUCUCCCAUUUCCUGUAUACUUUUCAACCCACCUCAAGAAAUGCCUUCGAAAUCAUCAGCAAUGUUAUAUAUAUGAUUACAUUUAUUUUUGCAAAUCUAAAAAAUGACAUUUAAAAUACAUAUUUUAAGAAUUCACACAGAGAAAGAGAUGUAAACAAGAAAUAAACAGCAUCAGUGUAAAAUAUGCAAUGUGCUCUAAAACCAUGUGUUACAGCGGUGCUACCAUUUCAGAGGACCA